UGCCAUGUUUGUGAGGACAGCCCGUGGA
rnacentral:piRNA from 1 species